rnacentral:rRNA from 1 species
GAUGAACGCUGGCGGCGUGCCUAAUACAUGCAAGUCGAGCGAACAGACGAGGAGCUUGCUCCUUCGACGUUAGCGGCGGACGGGUGAGUAACACGUAGGUAACCUACCUAUAAGGCUGGGAUAACUUCGGGAAACCGGAGCUAGUACCGGAUAAUAUUUCGAACCGCAUGGUUCGAUAGUGAAAGAUGGCUUUGCUAUCACUUAUAGAUGGACCUGCGCCGUAUUAGCUAGUUGGUAAGGUAACGGCUUACCAAGGCUACGAUCCGUAGCCGACCUGAGAGGGUGAUCGGCCACACUGGAACUGAGACACGGUCCAGACUCCUACGGGAGGCAGCAGUAGGGAAUCUUCCGCAAUGGGCGAAAGCCUGACGGAGCAACGCCGCGUGAGUGAUGAAGGUCUUCGGAUCGUAAAACUCUGUUAUUAGGGAAGAACAAACGUGUAAGUAACUGUGCACGUCUUGACGGUACCUAAUCAGAAAGCCACGGCUAACUACGUG